rnacentral:rRNA from 1 species
UACAGAGGGUGCAAGCGUUGUUCGGAAUUAUUGGGCGUAAAGCGCGUGUAGGCGGCUUUGCAAGUCGGGUGUGAAAGCCCUCAGCUCAACCGAAGAACGUCGGCCGAUACUGCUGUUCUUGAGGGAUGCAGAGGAGAUUGGAAUUCCGGGUGUAGCGGUGGAAUGCGUAGAGAUCCGGGAAGAACACCGGUGGCGAAGGCGGCCUGCUGGGCAGUUGCUGACGCUGAGGAACGAAAGCGUGGGGAGCGAACAGG